UUUGUUUAUCUGUCUCUUAAAGUCUCUACUGUCAACUUUACUUUAAAUCUGAUGCUUUUCCUGUUGAAUAUAACUGGUUUAUUGAGUCUCUUAACUACCUUAGCAAAAAAAAAAAAAAGCUGUGUACACUGUAAAGUAGCUUACAUGAAGGAGUUAAAUUUGCUGGUUGAUGAAUGAGAUGUGUUAUCAGUAUAAAUGUCUAUUAUCUUUGAUGUUCUUGGUAGUUAUGAUAUUUUUUUAUAUUAAUAAAAAAAUGAAAUAAAAUAAAAAACCCUCAGGCUAGUUUAUCUGACAAUUUAAAAAAUGUAAUCCGAUAAAAUUCAAAAUUUAACGGUCGACACCCUGUUGCUCUCACGAGCGCCGCUUUAACCUCGGUUAAAACCAGCGCUGUUCUCCUCAGUAAGUAGAGAUAGAUAAGACGAAGAGAAGGAGGAAAAAAGAGAAGGAGCACAACAGAGGACGAGUAAAGGAUAAGUGAAGCGUCUUCACCAUUUCAGAGAAGCGCUAUUGCUACCGGCUGAAGGGCUACACCUGCCAAAAACACCUACAGAGAAAUACCUUGUCUGGCCACACCUCGAUCAGGCUGAGGGAAAAAAAAAAAUGGCGAACAUCGAAACUGAGCAGGUCGAACCGAGAGUGGCGUGAGAAGAAGAGAAAACAGGCUAUAUUUAUUGUACUUUUCAGAACUGUACUUGAUGCAAAUGGUGCAUGUGGUGCAUGCAGAAUCAACAGUGCUUCCUCUCUUCUGCAUCUGCAUACAAACAGCUCCAUCACUCAACAUCCAUGAGUUAUCUCCCCACAUCUCCUCUUUUCUGCCUCGUAUCUACUGGUACUGGCAUCAUGCUCCUCUUUAUAGAACACCUGUGGGCAAUUUGCUGAAUAAAUAUCUGUGAGGAGCAGUGAAUAUGACCAUGUUGCCGGUUCAUGGUCAUGAUCCUCCCCUCUGGGAUCCCUUUAGGCACUUUUCAGAACUGUACUAGAUGCAAAUGGUGCGUCAGAAAAAGGUGAUGGUGCAUGCAGAAUCAACAGUGCCCCCUGCCUGCUGCAGCUGCAUCUGCAUACAAACAGCCCCAUCACUCAAUAUCCUCAUCUCCCCACAUCUCCUCAUUUCUGCCUCGUAUCUGCCGGUACUGGCAGCAUGCUCCUCUUUGUAGAACACCUGUGAGCAAUUUGCUGAAUAAAUAUCUGUGAGAAGCAAUGAAUGCAUUUAAAACAGGUCCGGAUCUCCUCUGUAGUUGUGCCACGGACAGGCCGACCCAGUCGAUUUGUAUCUGAAAACCAGUGGCCAUGAGAAAAGGUCCUUGCAGACAUGGUGGGCUGAAGACUGAUGGGCUUACAGCAUGCUUAACAUGUGUGUCAACCUAAGACAGAUGUGUGGAAUUAAAGUGAUAGUUUGCCUCGGGA